rfam:Trypanosoma cruzi strain CL Brener tcruzi_1047053508909, whole genome shotgun sequence.
GCAAACGUGGCCGAGUGGUUAAGGCGCCUGCCUGCUAAGCAGGUGUGAUCUCACGCGUAGGUUCGAACCCUACCGUUUGCG